AUGGUUUGGAGGUCUGACCAGCCUUGCCGCUUCUACAUGAUUGAUGGAUCUUGCAAGUAUGGUUCAGACUGUUGGUUCUCUCAUGGACUUGACUCAUUUGGGAGGAUAGAGAUGCAAAUUAGGGUACUUCUGCAUAUGAUGGGUGGUCGCCCUGUUCCAGUAGUGGAUUUGCCACGGAAUUGCCACAUAAAGCUUCUGCAAGACGGAUGGAAUUGGAAUCCUGAUCACCUGCUGAGUUUGCUCUGCCGUCUUCAUACGAUUUAUUUGAUUCAUGACAAGUUUUUUCUGUGGUCUCAUUUCUAA
rnacentral:rRNA from 1 species